rnacentral:rRNA from 1 species
AUGUCGUGUCGUGUCGCGUCCCGCAGAAACAGAAAACAGAGGGCGAGGAUGAUUAUUAUUACAUGGGGCGCCUCGUCGUCUUCCUCUGCCGAGGCGUUGCCCACACAUCACUCGCCAGUAGAGUACUCUACCUCACGCACCACCAUCGACAACUUGACCCGAGCUGAGCACCUCGCUUCCUCCGCUGCUCACUCAGUCCUCGCCAUCAUCUCCUUCUUUCCAGCUUUUCUUUGUAGCUGCCUCCUCCGGUCCUCCCCCUCCCCCGCCCGCGCCCUGUCCCUGUGGACUGUGCCCCCGCUUGCUUUGCUCGCUGCCUUUCCCCCUCCCUCUCCUCUUUCUUAA